UCCGGCAGCCAGGGCUGAUGUCAUUCUCAGUGGCGGGGAGGGGAGGUGGUCAGGGAGGAGGAGGUGAGCGGGGAGGGAACCAGCACUCCCGCACUGCAGAGGAGAAAGAGGGCUCAGAGAUCUUCCCAGGUAGGCAAGGGAGCUCAGAGCUGUGGCUGCCCAGUAGACAUAAUACCUUUGUUUCUCUGGCUGGUUUCCAGAUCUUGUCUCUGGAUCUGUGUCUCAAUAUGACUCAGUAGAUGCCCCUCAGCUCCUCUUCUCUAGACCUCAAACACACACUUUAAGGAAAUUCUUACUCCUUUCCCUCUCUCUUUUAUGCCUUUAUAAAUCUCUCUCCCCUCCCAUUUCACCCCUUCCCUCUUCGUUGAACUAUCUUGGUCACCUGCUCCCUCCCCCUGCCACUCUCAUCCCAUAUCAUAACACAAUAUGAUCCCAGGCUGCCCACCAAGGCAGGGCUCCCCCAGAGCCUCUUUUCUCUUUCCCUUCCCUCCUUGAAAUCCGACUGUCCCCCUGGUCUCUAGGGUGGAGGUGAGGUAGGGGAAUGGCUGGGCCGAAGAGGGCAGAGACAGGACAGGUGGAGAGUCCAGUGAAGUAUGGGAAGGACAGGAAGGUCAAAAGAGAAACACAGUGAGAGUGAAAACGUGAUGGGGAGACAAAGGGGCAGAGGCUAAGAGUUAGCAGGAAGCCAGCAUAACAAGCUGGGAGAGUGAGAGAAACAGAAACAACAGCAAAACUGGGAGCAGAGAAGAAGAAUGGAGAGAUGAAGACAGGAAAGUCACAGCUGGAGAAGGCAGCUGGGGAGGGCUGGGCAUGGGUCAGGCUGGCUCUCCUGGGCUCACUCCCUCCUUCGGAUGGGCCAUAAAUCUGUGUGUGUGCACACUUGUGUCUGUCUGCCCAUCCAUGUGCAUGCACGCACUGCACAUGUGUGCAGGGGUUGGUGGUGGGCACAGGGAUGAUUCCCACCAUAUCCUCAUUCCCAUUUGUUUCAGGAGCCUCCCUCCUUGAGGCACCCCACACCAACCCAUUUCCCAGCAUUCCUGAUGCUGCAGGGGCCAUUCCCAAGAAAUGCUGUAACUGCACUCCGGGGGCUAUGUGAAUGCCGGAUGCUUGGAAAGUUCCUCUCCCAUCUGCCUUCAAUCCUUUCUGCUGCAAAGAUCUGUGGUCCUCCGAGGGGCUCUCCAGGAGUCAAGCCCCUGCCUGAUAUGUGAAUCUCAUUCUCCACCUCCCUCAGGGCUCCCUUCUCUGGCUCAGGAUGAGAGGGAGAGGGUGGGUGAGGGCCUUGGGAAAGUGGUCAGGCUAAAAAUAGGGGCUCCCAACUGCACCCCUCCGUUCCUUAUUUAUCACCUUCCAAACCUCACUCUCCAAGAAGCAUAAAUACGUAUACCUAAUUCCUGAAGGCCAGCCCUGCUCUCAUAAAUUUGACUGGGGAGAUGGGCAAGGGGGAGGAGUGAGUGUAUGGGGAAUGGGGAGCCUGCUGCAACCUUGGGGAAGUACAACGUAUGCAGGUGCACCGGACUGUCCCCCUCUGGCCAGCACCUCCGGGUCUUCACUGAGGGGAGGGAUGGCUGUUUCUCUCAAUAGUCCCUCUGGGGCUUAGACUUUUCUCACUACCCCUGGCCCCGCAAACAAA